rnacentral:misc_RNA from 1 species
CCGAGUUUACAACUCCCAAACCCCUGUGAACAUACCUACUAUGUUGCCUCGGCGGAUCAGCCCGCGCCCUGUAAAACGGGACGGCCCGCCGCAGGAUCCACAAACUCUGUUUUUAUUGUAACUUCUGAGUAACAAAACAAAUAAAUCA